GACAAACAUUAAGCCAUAAGCGAAAGCUUGACUUAGUUAGGGCUAACAAGGGCCGGUAAAACUCGUGCCAGCAACCGCGGUUACACGAGAGGCCCAAAUUGACACAUCACGGCGUAAAGUGUGAUUAGAGACACUUCUGAAAUAGAGCCAAAUACCCCCUAUGCUGUCAUACGCCAUGGGGGUUACGAAGACCAACAACGAAAGUGGUUCUAUUGAACUUGAACUCACGACAGCUAAGACACAAACUGGGAUUAGAUACCCCACUAUGCUCAGCCUUAAACCAAGGUGAUAAACAUACAAACUUCACCCGCCAGGGAACUACGAGCCCCAGCUUAAAACCCAAGGGACUUGGCGGUGCCUCAAACCCACCUAGAGGAGCCUGUCCUAUAACCGAUAAUCCCCGUUAAACCUCACCUCUCCUUGUCAAUACCGCCUAUAUACCGCCGUCGCCAGUUUACCUUUUGAGAGAAGAAGCAGUAAGCAAAACGGGUACCACCCAACACGUCAGGUCGAGGUGUAGCGAAUGGAGGGGGAAGAGAUGGGCUACAUUUUCUGGCACCAGAACACCACGAAACCUGCAAUGAAAUAUGCACAGCCGAAGGUGGAUUUAGCAGUAAAGAGGGAAAAGAGAGCCCUUUUGAAACCGGCCCUGAGGCGCGUACACACCGCCCGUCACUCUCCUCGAAAAACGAAAUGACAGUACAUAAAAACUUAAGGCCAAUAGAGAGGAGGCAA
rnacentral:rRNA from 1 species